AAGGCUCUUAACUUUCGUGAAAAUUAAGCAGGAUAUAUAACUUUUUAAGUAGAGGUAAAAUUUUAGUUUAAAAAAGUUUUUCUUCUCCACUCUUUAAAAAUAAGGUUAUAAACAAGGAUUAGAUACCCUUCUAUUCUUUAUUAAAAUAUUUAAGGUAGUAGUUGAUACAAGCUUGAAACCUAAAGAUUUUGGCGGUACUUAAUCUUAUCAGAGGAACCUGCCUAUUAAACGAUAACCCGCGAUAAAUCUUACCGUCUCGCUGUUUGUACACCGUCGUCUAAGCAACCUUUAUAGAGGUUGGCUUAAAAUAUUUUUACUAAAUACAGAUCUAGGCGCAGCCUGGGCCGGAUAAAGGUUGGUUACAAUUGCCCUGUCAUUGGAAAAAUAUUUUAUUAGUAUUAUGAAAUUGGAUUUGAAAGUAAUAGUAGUUUAACACGCUGCUAUAAAUACUCCUUUAAGUAUGUACAUAUCGCCCGUCACUCUCAAUUUGAGAU
rnacentral:rRNA from 1 species